rnacentral:rRNA from 1 species
AUAGUGUAUAUUAAAAUUGUUGCAGUUAAAAAGCUCGUAGUUGAAUUUUAGGCCCGGUUGGAUGGUCUGCUCUAGGGUUUGCACUGUCCUGACUGGGUCUUCCUUUCUGGUGAGCUGUCGUGCUGUUUACUCAGUGCGGCAGGGAGCCAGGACUUUUACUUUGAAAAAAUUAGAGUGUUUAAAGCAGGCAUUCGCUUGAAUACAUUAGCAUGGAAUAAUAAAAUAGGACUUUGGUUCUAUUUUGUUGGUUUCUAGGACCGAAGUAAUGAUUAAUAGGGAUAGUUGGGGGCAUUAGUAUUUAAUUGUCAGAGGUGAAAUUCUUGGAUUUAUGAAAGACUAACUUCUG